UUUAUUAAGAAGAUGUACUCAUUUUAUAGAUACAUUCAUUCGUUACAUAUUAAUGAUAAUAUCAAUUAUUAUCAUCUAUAUCGGGAUGAGCCACAUUAGCGAUUCCAGUGGGAGGAUCAAUGGUGAUUCCAGUGGUGAUGGUGAUGUAGCACAGUGUGUGGGUGCAACAGUUCCCACCGCAGCUUUUGUUGGCUGCAGCAUGAAGCUCUUC
rnacentral:lncRNA from 1 species